AGAGCGCCGACCAGAAAGGCAACCCCGCUGAGCCCAUGCCUUAGCCAAAUAUCCAAUCUCCGCCUAACCCUCCAAAGGAUCUGACAACUAAAUAUAUGACUCCACUUCAAUCUGCCACCAUCCCCAAGUCAUUAAGGCACAAGAUCUCCGCAGGCAUUCGGCACACCCUAUCAUUAAUGCAUGAGACCCCCUCAAGCCUCCAAUGCACUCAGUCAUUAAAUGAACACGGCUCAAGAUGAUCUCCGGAUCACUGAACCAUCAAAGCGUACGGCUCUUUCUGACCACCGGUUCACUCAGCAAUCAAUGCACUUGUCAUCUACGGACCCCAGGCCCACCACGGCCGGCG
rnacentral:lncRNA from 1 species